AUUAUACAAGGCUCAGGAGAC
rnacentral:piRNA from 1 species